rnacentral:rRNA from 1 species
GAUGAACGCUAGCAGCAGGCUUAAUACAUGCAAGUCGAGGGGUAGGAAGAUUGUAGCAAUACAAUUGUUUACGACCGGCAAACGGGUGCGGAACACGUACACAACCUUCCUACAAGUGGGGAAUAGCCCAUAGAAAUUUGGAUUAAUACCCCGUAACAUAGCGAUCUGGCAUCACAUUGCCAUUAUACGAUCGGCGCUGGUUCAUCGGUGUGCGGCUGAUUAGAUAGGUGGCGGGGUAACGGCACACCAAGUCUACGAUCAGUAGCUGAUGUGAGAGCAUGAUCACCCACACGGGCACUGAGACACGGGCCCGACUCCUACGGGAGGCGGCAGUAAGGAAUAUUGGACAAUGGACGCAAGUCUGAUCCAGCCAUGCCGCGUGCAGGAUGAAGGCCUUCGGGUUGUAAACUGCUUUUGUACGGAACGAAAAGGUUUGGCCUAAUACGCUGAACUCAUGACGGUACCGUAAGAAUAAGCACCGGCUAACUACGUGCCAGCCGCCGCGGUAAAAC